CAGGGUAUAGCUAAACUAGGCAAAGCAUCCCCCUUACAAUGAGAAGACAUCCGUGCAACCCGGAUUACCCUGA
rnacentral:tRNA from 2 species